CAGCCGCCGCGGGAAUACGGAGGAUCCAAGCGUUAUCCGGAAUCAUUGGGUUUAAAGGGUCCGUAGGCGGUCUUGUAAGUCAGUGGUGAAAGCCCAUCGCUCAACGGUGGAACGGCCAUUGAUACUGCAGGACUUGAAUUAUUGGGAAGUAACUAGAAUAUGUAGUGUAGCGGUGAAAUGCUUAGAGAUUACAUGGAAUACCAAUUGCGAAGGCAGGUUACUACCAAUUGAUUGACGCUGAUGGACGAAAGCGUGGGUAGCGAACAGGAUUAGAGACCCCCGUAGUCCCUGUCUCUUAUAU
rnacentral:rRNA from 1 species